CUCACAAUGAGAAUAGUUUUUGUUGAGUCCCACGACUCAAAAUUUCAAAGAUGGGGUGACUGACUGGCUCAGUAGAAUAUGCUACACUUGAUCUCAGGGUCAUGAGUUCAAGUCCCAAAUUGGGCAUAGAGAUUACUUUGGACAAAAAAAAAAGCCUUAAAAAAAACCCCAAAUUCAAAAGGUAUGAAAAUGUAUUUAGUAACAAGUCUCCGCGCACAACCCAUCCCCUCCCUGGCCAUGCAGUUCCUCUCCUGGGAGACAUCCAGUACUACUAGUUUCUUGCGGAUCCUUCCAGAGAUGCCAGAUAUUCUAUUUUUAAUUUUUAAUGUAAAGGAAUUUAUCGAUUUUUUUUCCGAUUUUUUUUCUUUUAUGGCUGCUGAAUUUGGUGACAUACUCAGAAAGCCUCCUUCACUCCAAGAUUCUAGAAAAUUUCCUCUUUGUUCUUCAGUAUUUUUAUAGCUCAC